AUGAACGCUGGCGGCGUGCCUAAUACAUGCAAGUCGAGCGAACGGACGAGAAGCUUGCUUCUCUGAUGUUAGCGGCGGACGGGUGAGUAACACGUGGAUAACCUACCUAUAAGACUGGGAUAACUUCGGGAAACCGUAGCUAAUACCGGAUAAUAUUUUGAACCGCAUGGUUCAAAAGUGAAAGACGGUCUUGCUGUCACUUAUAGAUGGAUCCGCGCUGCAUUAGCUAGUUGGUAAGGUAACGGCUUACCAAGGCAACGAUGCAUAGCCGACCUGAGAGGGUGAUCGGUCACACUGGAACUGAGACACGGUCCAGACUCCUACGGGAGGCAGCAGUAGGGAAUCUUCCGCAAUGGGCGAAAGCCUGACGGAGCAACGCCGCGUGAGUGAUGAAGGUCUUCGGAUCGUAAAACUCUGUUAUUAGGGAAGAACAUAUGUGUAAGUAACUGUGCACAUCUUGACGGUACCUAAUCAGAAAGCCACGGCUAACUACGUG
rnacentral:rRNA from 1 species